rnacentral:rRNA from 1 species
AACGAACGCUGGCGGCAGGCUUAACACAUGCAAGUCGAGCGCCCCGCAAGGGGAGCGGCAGACGGGUGAGUAACGCGUGGGAACGUACCCUUUGCUACGGAAUAGCUCCGGGAAACUGGAAUUAAAACCGCAUGUGCCCUACGGGGGAAAGAUUUAUCGGCAAAGGAUCGGCCCGCGUUGGAUUAGCUAGUUGGUGGGGUAAUGGCCUACCAAGGCGACGAUCCAUAGCUAGUCUGAGAGGAUGAUCAGCCACAUUGGGACUGAGACACGGCCCAAACUCCUACGGGAGGCAGCAGUGGGGAAUAUUGGACAAUGGGCGCAAGCCUGAUCCAGCCAUGCCGCGUGAGUGAUGAAGGCCUUAGGGUUGUAAAGCUCUUUCACCGGAGAAGAUAAUGACGGUAUCCGGAGAAGAAGCCCCGGCUAACUUCGUGCCAGCCGCCGCGGUAAGAC